rnacentral:lncRNA from 1 species
CUCAAGAGGAGCUAAUUUUAAGCUGGCAAGUUGUUCUAUCUGUUAGCACAGAAAAUAUUCAUUCCUGGAGUAAAGGAAUUGGGAGUUAACCAGAUCCAGGGCACCCAGGGGGCCUUGUAAAUCACAGAGCUGCUGAGUAACCUGGAAGCUCCAUUGAGAACAGCGAGAGCAUGUAUUCCAGCCACUAAGGAGCACAGAAGCCUUUUGUAAGCCAAGUGAAGAAUUGCAAAUUCACUGAAGAGAGAACAGUUGACUCUCAAGAAAUACAAGUUUGAACUGCAUGGGUCCACUUACACACUGACUUUCUCUGCCUCUGCCUCCCCUGAGACAGCAAGACCCUCAUCACUCUCUGCCUACUCAACCUGAAGAUGACGAGGAUGAGGACCUUU